rnacentral:snRNA from 1 species
GGACAUGAGGGCAAUCUGGCUGUGACAUCUGUCACCCCACUGAUCUCCAGAGUUGAUUCGGCUGAUCUGACUGGCUAGGCGGGUGUCCCCUUCCUCCCUCACUGCUUCAUGUUCAUCUCUUCUGAAGCUGUGUGCUCAGUCUAAGAGGAUGGCCUUCCCCAAAUAGAGAGAGACCAGUCUUUGGUCAUGGGUAUAAAAGUAGCUGUGCUCCCCUGCUACAACCUCCAAAUAAGUUCUAUAACUUUGGGCAUGUUUUUUUUCUCCUCUCUGUGACUCAG